rnacentral:rRNA from 1 species
AACGAACGCUGGCGGCAGGCCUAACACAUGCAAGUCGAGCGCGCCCUUCGGGGUGAGCGGCGGACGGGUGAGUAACGCGUGGGAACGUGCCCUUCUCUGCGGAAUAGCCUCGGGAAACUGAGAGUAAUACCGCAUACGCCCUUUGGGGGAAAGAUUUAUCGGAGAAGGAGCGGCCCGCGUUGGAUUAGGUAGUUGGUGGGGUAAUGGCCCACCAAGCCGACGAUCCAUAGCUGGUUUGAGAGGAUGAUCAGCCACACUGGGACUGAGACACGGCCCAGACUCCUACGGGAGGCAGCAGUGGGGAAUCUUAGACAAUGGGGGCAACCCUGAUCUAGCCAUGACGCGUGAGUGAUGAAGGCCUUAGGGUUGUAAAGCUCUUUCAGCUGGGAAGAUAAUGACGGUACCAGCAGAAGAAGCCCCGGCUAACUCCGUG